rnacentral:tRNA from 1 species
GGUAAAAUGGCUAAGGAAGCAUUAGACUCUACAUCUAAAGAUAGGGGUUAAGUCCCUUUUUUACCA